AUUGAACGCUGGCGGCAUGCUUUACACAUGCCAGUCGAACGGUAACAGGCCGCAAGGUGCUGACGAGUGGCGAACGGGUGAGUAAUGCAUCGGAACGUGCCCAGUCGUGGGGGAUAACUACUCGAAAGAGUAGCUAAUACCGCAUACGAUCUAUGGAUGAAAGCGGGGGACCGUAAGGCCUCGCGCGAUUGGAGCGGCCGAUGUCAGAUUAGGUAGUUGGUGGGGUAAAGGCUCACCAAGCCAACGAUCUGUAGCUGGUCUGAGAGGACGACCAGCCACACUGGGACUGAGACACGGCCCAGACUCCUACGGGAGGCAGCAGUGGGGAAUUUUGGACAAUGGGCGCAAGCCUGAUCCAACAAUGCCGCGUGCAGGAAGAAGGCCUUCGGGUUGUAAACUGCUUUUGUACGGAACGAAACGGCUCUGGUUAAUACCCGGGGCUAAUGACGGUACCGUAAGAAUAAGCACCGGCUAACUACGUG
rnacentral:rRNA from 1 species